rnacentral:rRNA from 1 species
UACGUAGGGUGCGAGCGUUGUCCGGAAUUACUGGGCGUAAAGAGCUCGUAGGUGGUUUGUCGCGUUGUUCGUGAAAACUCACAGCCUAACUGUGGGCGUGCGGGCGAUACGGGCAGACUGGAGUACUGCAGGGGAGACUGGAAUUCCUGGUGUAGCGGUGAAAUGCGCAGAUAUCAGGAGGAACACCGGUGGCGAAGGCGGAUCUCUGGGCCAUUACUGACGCUGAGGAGCGAAAGCGUGGGGAGCGAACAGG